rnacentral:rRNA from 1 species
UACAGAGGUCCCAAGCGUUGUUCGGAUUCAUUGGGCGUAAAGCGCGCGUAGGCGGCCCUGUAAGUCCGCUGUGAAAGUCAAAGGCUCAACCUUUGAAAGCCGGUGGAUACUGCAGGGCUAGAGUCCGGAAGAGGCGAGUGGAAUUCCUGGUGUAGCGGUGGAAUGCGCAGAUAUCAGGAGGAACACCAAUAGCGAAGGCAGCUCGCUGGGACGGUACUGACGCUAAGGCGCGAAAGCGUGGGGAGCGAACAGG